rnacentral:lncRNA from 1 species
GUUAAAGCCAUGGCACCUACACUGCUGGCCUCAUGGCUUAUAUGUCCCAUAGCUGCAAUUAUAAGAGUUGGCUACAAAAUUUCCACUGCUCCAGUCCUUUCCCAAGGGACUCAACAGUUGAAGGGCACUGCAACCCCUCUCAUCUUCUGUCCAUGUUUGUGCGGAUGCGUAUGUCUCAGAUUACAGGUGACAGUAAAGAGGAUCCUGAGCCUCAGAAAACAAGGGGUCCUAUCUCUUUGUCUUGCUUACUGAUAAAUUGGCCAUGCGUAGCUCCAUGCCUUAUACAUGGUUUAUAGACAAGGCUCAAGAGAGAAGUAGAGUUCUGAGCAAGGUUUGGAUGCACAUAUAGAAAUAUAUUGGAAGAACAAGAACCAGG